rnacentral:rRNA from 1 species
UACGGGGGGAGCAAGCGUUGUUCGGAUUUACUGGGCGUAGAGGGCGCGUAGGCGGUCAGCACAAGUCAGUUGUGAAAUCUCCGGGCUUAACUCGGAAAGGUCAACUGAUACUGUGCGACUAGAGUGCAGAAGGGGCAACUGGAAUUCUCGGUGUAGCGGAUGAAAUGCGUAGAUAUCGAGAGGAACACCUGCGGCGAAGGCGGGUUGCUGGGCUGACACUGACGCUGAUGCGCGAAGCCAGGGGAGCGAACGGG